UACGUAGGGGGGCGAGCGUUUGUCCGGAUUUAUUGGGCGUAAAGAGCUCGUAGGCGGUUUGUCGCGUCUGCCGUGAAAGUCCGGGGCUCAACUCCGGAUCUGCGGUGGGUACGGGCAGACUAGAGUGAUGUAGGGGGAGACUGGAAUUCCUGGUGUAGCGGUGAAAUGCGCAGAUAUCAGGAGGAACACCGAUGGCGAAGGCAGCUCGCUGGGACGGUACUGACGCUGAGGCGCGAAAGCGUGGGGAGCAAACAGG
rnacentral:rRNA from 1 species